rnacentral:misc_RNA from 1 species
GAUGAAGAACGUAGCGAAAUGCGAUACUUGGUGUGAAUUGCAGAAUCCCGUGAACCAUCGAGUCUUUGAACGCAAGUUGCGCCCGAAGCCAUUAGGCCGAGGGCACGCCUGCCUGGGUGUCACACGUCGUUGCCCCCCCAUCUACUCCUUCGGGAUUGCGGGGGGCGGAUGAUGGCCUCCCGUGCGCCUCGUCGCGCGGUUGGCAUAAAUGCCAAGUCCUCGGCGACGCACGCCACGACAAUCGGUGGUUGCGAAACCUCGGUUGCCCGUCGUGUGCGGUCGUCGCGCAUCGAGGGCUCGAAAAAAUUGCCGGGCUCCGGCUCGGCCUUCAACGCGACCCCAGGUCAGGCGGGGUUACCCGCUGAAUUUAAGCAUAUCAAUAAGCGGAGGA